AUACGUAGGUGACAAGCGUUAUCCGGAUUUAUUGGGUUUAAAGGGUGCGUAGGCGGUUUGCUAAGCGGGAGGUGAAAUGCCGGCGCUCAACGUCGGAAGUGCCUCCCGAACUGGGGGACUGGAAUGACUCUGCCGUGGGAGGAAUGUGUAGUGUAGCGGUGAAAUGCUUAGAGAUUACACAGAACACCGAUUGCGAAGGCAUCUCACGAAGGGUUGAUUGACGCUGAGGCUCGAAAGCGUGGGGAUCAAACAGGAUUAGAUACCCUGGUAGUCCACGCAGUAAACGAUGAUGGCUAACCGCUGGUUUAUUCGGAUCAGUGGCCAAGCGAAAGCGAUAAGCCAUCCACCUGGGGAGUACGACCGCAAGGUUGAAACUCAAAGGAAUUGACGGG
rnacentral:rRNA from 1 species